UUAUGGUAAAUCAGGGUAUGGCAAAUCAGAGUUUUACUGUGCUACCAUUACAUUAUUUGGCUGCACUAAUACUUCAUUAUUUACCUAGAACAUGGAUUUGUCAAAGAGAAGCAAAGAAUUAAUUUCUGGAGCAAUUGCUGUUCUUUUACUCAUUCUUGCUGUUCUUCUCACACUGCUUCUGAAUGGUGGCAGCUUCUCAACAACCAUGCUACCCUUUGAUCUGGACGAUAGAACCAUAAGUUACCCAGUCCUGCCAGACACUAUCGAUGGUGUUGUUAACGUGGUAGUGAACUCUGUUGUAGCAGUUGGUCUGAUGAUCUUAUGGCUUCUUCUCCAUAGAAAAAAAAUUGGUAGAAAUAAAACAGCUCUAUUUCUCCUUGCGGUAUACCUUGUUCUGAUGGGAGGAAUCCUUGUUAACCUUCUCACGAAUGUCAUUAAGCACUUUAGAGGUGGUUUGCGUCCUCACUUUAUUGCUGGUUGCGAACCAGAUGAGACCAUUGUGGCUGAUUUGCGGAUUAAAAAGGAAUCUUGGGUAGAUUUGAAAACAUCUAAAAUUAUUUGCACACACAAAGGAAAGCCAGAGUUCAGGUGGUCAUUUCCUUCAGGACAUUCUUCUACCGCAUUCUUCGGGGCUAUCUUGUCCAUCCUGAUAAUCCAGGACUUACCCACCGAUAUUUCAAAUGCGUGGAGUCCACUUUGGUUGACAGUCAAAGCGUCCCUCCAAUUUUGUAUCAUUACUUUUUCAUCCUGGGUUGCUGUCAGUCGCCUUGUUGACUACCAUCACCACUGGUGGGAUGUAUUGGCGGGAGGUUUAUUGGGCACUGUGUUUGCUGUGGUUCUUUUCAAAUGGUUCCUUGAACCAGUCAUGAAGCACAUAUCUGAAUUUGAAGAUCCUGAAACUUCAGUUGAUGUGAAUGCUGUGAAUGUGAAGGCGAGUGAAGGUGCUGAGCGACAAACGUCUACAGUGUUGCUUCUAGACUAAUUCACCGCUGAGGUACCAAUCCUGCAAGAAGCACUGUAGUUCCAAAUCCAAAUACUUGUCCAGGGGAACUGAACAAAUUUGCAUAAAAUAGCACAGGGACAGAAAGAUGAAGCAUAGUUAUCCGGGUGUUAAUAUCUCUAAAACGUACUAUGGCGCAGCACACAAUCAGCACAGAAAACCCGACCCUUGAUAAAAGUGCUUUUAGUAUUUGAGUGUAGAGUGUUAAAAAUUAGUAAGAGUAUGUUUAUCAGAACUCAAAUUAUGGACUGUUAAAGUUUUUUUCGAUUAAGUCUCUGGAGAUACAUAUAACCUUUACUUUUCAGACUUUUUGUUAGACUUCAUAAUCAAAUGUGGAAUAUUCCUGUGUGAUGCGACUCAAACUAUUACUUAUUUAAUAAUUUUCCUGUCAGUGGGCGAACGGAAUGAUUUCAUCUUAGUUUUAUAGAAUAUAUAUAAACUAAUAUUGUUUGGCUGACUAUGUAGUAUGUCAUUAAAUACAUCAGUCUUUAAUAAGUUAAUUAGAAAAAUAUCGCUUAGUAAAUUUACUAUUUAAAGUGAUAAAUUAGUCAGAAACCUUAAUCACAGGUUAUAACGUUGGUUAGAAUAUAAAACGUAUUUGAGCUGUGCUCUUAAUCGUUGAACGUGUACUAACAUAAGAAAAUAAGAGGAGCUUAUGUCAAGAUAAUCUUUUUGCGAGGAAUAUAAUUAGUAAACGAUGCAAUUAUAUUUAUUUCAUUUUCCAGUACAGUACAGUUAAUUGUUGUAUAGUAUGUUAUAUAAAUUGGUUUAAUUUCGUUUAGCUUGUGAAUCCAUAAAACUAUAACACCUUAUCAAGAGGAUCGUGAUAUACAGUGACUUCUGCUUUAAGUUUAAUUAAUACUUUUUCUCCGAUCGACUAAUUGAAAAUUAGACAACCUUUUUUUAAAUUAUAACAAAUUAGUGACAUAACUCUCAUAUAACUGAUAAUUAAAUUUGUGAAUUCCAUUUGAAUAAUAAUUCAGAAAAACAUCAUCGAUCAGAGAAAAACAAAAUUGAACGCUAUUGAUUCUUUGGAUGUCAUGAUUGACACAAAUAAUUUAUCCGUUAAUUGUUAUAUUAUAUUACUCUAUACCGUCAUAAUGUUAUAGUGCUCGUAUACCCUAGCUAGACGGUACGUGACGCAUCACGUGAUGUGUUACGUGAUGGAUCACGUGUCACGUACCGCCUAGCUAGGGUCUCAUGAAGACACUCAGUUUACAGUUUUGAUUCUUUUGAUUUCGUUGUUUAACCUUAACCUCUGUAACUACUCCAUAUUACUGUAACAUACUAUUUUCUAGUUUGAUUUAUC